AACUACUCCUACGGGAGGCAGCAGUGGGGAAUAUUGCACAAUGGGCGCAAGCCUGAUGCAGCCAUGCCGCGUGUAUGAAGAAGGCCUUCGGGUUGUAAAGUACUUUCAGCGAGGAGGAAGGUGUUGUGGUUAAUAACCACAGCAAUUGACGUUACUCGCAGAAGAAGCACCGGCUAACUCCGUGCCAGCAGCCGCGGUAAUUGAAUUU
rnacentral:rRNA from 1 species